CCCUUAGAUGUUCUGGGCAGCACGCGCGCUACAAUGGUCUUCGCAAACGGACGCAUUCUCGAAGGAGAAUGCCAAUCUUGGAAUCUAUGCCUUGGUCGGGACAGUUGCUUGCAAUUUUUCGACUCGAACCAGGAAUUCCUUGUAAUCGUGAUUCAUCACAUCACGAUGAAUACGUCCCUGCCCUUUGUACACACCGCCCGUCGCUCCUACCGAUUGAAGAGUUAGGUGAAUUGUUUUGAUCGAUAAGAUUUGACUAUGGUCAACUCUCGUUGUGAAAUUCUGUGAAUCUGACUGUUUAGAGGAAGGAAAAGUCGUAACA
rnacentral:rRNA from 1 species